UACAGAGGUCUCGAGCGUUAGGCGGAAUCACUGGGCUUAAAGCGUGUGUAGGCGGAUCGUUAAGUGCCUUGUGAAAUCCCACGGCUCAACCGUGGAACUGCUUGGCAUACUGGGCGGUCUUGAGCAACCUAGGGGCGAGCGGAACAAAUGGUGGAGCGGUGAAAUGCGUAGAUAUCAUUUGGAACGCCAAUGGUGAAAACAGCUCGCUGGGGGUUUGCUGACGCUGAGACGACGAAAGCCAGGGGAGCAAACGGG
rnacentral:rRNA from 1 species